UAAGUUAAAUUAAUCACUUAAAAGCAAUGUUAUCUUUACGUAUUGAUUUCUGUUCAAGGAUGUUGAGCAAAUAGGGAUUAGUAAAACAACAUUGUUCUCAAAAUAUGAGCAGUUUAAUGCAAGCUGUCACAGAAAUUAUAGCUGCCCUGCUAAAUACAAAAUAUUAUAUUCUUUAACUAGCAAGUCUGCACUAAUGCUGAACUAAUUGGAUAUGACUCAAAAAGUGACCACCAUGUUGGAUUAAUAAAAAAAAUUAGUAUGUUACAUAGCAUAGGAAGUGACGGAAAUCUUUUAAUUCUUAGUGAAAAUCAACCAACAAUUUUUGUAUCUUCCCAGGCAUUUGUUGAGUGUGAAAUAUCUAUCAGUUAGCACUGGACAGUGAUCCCACACACAUGGGUCCUCCCAUAAAUGUUCCUCUUCUAUCGUUACACCCCAAUAGCAGGAAAUGACAGAGCAUCGAGAGAGAGGAAGAAGGCUGUGUGCUGGGCAGUGUAGAUCCAAAAACCCAAACCCAGUGCCGUCGAGUCGAUUCCGACUCAUAGCUACCCUAUAGGGUAGUCGCUAUAGAGUAGAACUGCCCCACAGAGUUUCCAAGGAGCACCUGGCAGAUUUGAACUGAAGACCCUUUGGUUAGCAGCCAUAAAAUGUCCCCGGAAGUAAAGAAUGUCAGUGACUCGGUGGUGGAAGGAUAAAAGUCAAGAAGGCACACAGUGAUGAGAUGCUGGCGGUCAGGGAGGACGUCGACAGCCCACAAUGUUAUCCCGCAACAGGAACAAGGUCAGGCAGCCACCUGGAUGAACACAUCAAGAUCCUACUUCUCUUAAAUCUGUGUCCAGAUCUUGAGUGGACCCAGCUCUGAACACGAUACUUCAAGGACGUUAGUAAACUCAACUCUACCUAAAGGGGGUGUUAAAAAAAAAGGGGGGGGGUGUUAUGGAGCAGAAAACCAUGUCAUAAGAGAACUGGUUAAAGAAAUUGAGGAGCUGAAUGGAGAUUAGAUUUCUAUUUAGGUUCCAAAGAUGAAUUAGGAGAAAUGAAUAAGUUUUAGGAAUACAGCAAGUAUGAGUUUCUUAAAAAUGUUUUUAAAUAGUUUGGGUGAAUAUAAAAAUAAUACAGACUUCCCAUUAAACAUGAGAGAUUGCCCAUGAACUUUUAUAUCCUCACUCUGCGGGAGCCCUGGUAAAAAUACAGGAAAGAAUGGGAAAGGUAGAAACCCAUUAAGAUAAUGAGAGAAGAAACAAUAGCAGAAGAGAGAUUUUAUUCAAUGUGGAGGACCAGAAAGCAAAUUGGAAAGCAGUUAGUGGGGAAGGAGAAAGAGGGGGUUUCCAACAAGAAAAUGAACCAUUAGUCACCCAGAUGAACUUGAAAUGGCCUAGGAUUUUGAGGUACCACGUGCUGUAGAAUAAGGCAUGAAGCUGAAAACAGAAGUUUGAGAGGCUUUACACGGAGGAGUUGGAUGCGUGUUUCCUGACCCCCAGGCCCUGCAGCCAGGCAGCACCUCCAACUCAUCACUCCACUGUCAACAGACAUUUAUUACCCUGGAGACGGAUGGAGCACAGAAGGAACUUGGAACCAUUCAGUGAAGGAAAUUCAGAGAAACAUCAUUUCAGUUUAGCUAAACUGACACAGUACAAAGUCACCCCUGGAAGAAAAACAAAGAAAUAGUGAUAGUGAAGAAUCAUAGAGAUUUGGUAAAGGCACUUACAAUGGCAUUAAAGGGGUAUGAGAACCGUAUUGAAGGAACAUUGUGUCUGUGUCAUGGAUUGAAUUGCGUCCCCAAAAAUGUCUCAGCUUGGUUAGGUAUUUCUGUUAUAGCAGCACUAGAUGACUAAGGCAGUCUGGCUGGAGGAUAGGUGAUGAAAGGCUAAAAGAAGGUAACGCUUCAAGCUGGGUCUGAAAUGAUGUGCAGGAGUUAUCCAGGUGGGAAAUGGGCAGAGUGGAGUGGGAUAUCAGGGGAGGACAACAGCACGAGCAAGGGCAUAGGGGGUGAGAGUCAAUGGUGAGGAAAAGAGUGGUCAAACUGGCAUGGCACCAAGGGAUAUCUCCUGAGAGAAGGUAAUGUGCAGGAGAAUGGGAGCAGGGACAGACCGUGAUAUUGCCUGUGAGCAAUACAGAGUUGAUGAAAUAUCAAAUGUAUGGACUAAAGGGUAUGCCAAGCAAUCAUUUUUUUACUAUCCUCAGUAUGCAACAUAGGGCCCAGCACAAAAUGCAUAAGUUAUCAACGAAGGCACAGUAGUUAAGAGCUCGGCUGCUAACCAAAAGGUCAGCAGUUCAAAUCCACCAGCUGCUGCUUAGAAAUCCUAUGGGGCAGUUCUACUCUGUCCUAUAGGGUUGUUAUGAGCCAGAAUCAACUAGAUGGCAACAGGAUUGGUUUGCUUUUUUGAAUGUCUCAAGAAAAAAAAAUUAUCAAGUAAAACAAAACAAUUUCACUUAGCACUAAGCCUGGCACAUAGUAUGUAUUCAGCAAACAUUGGAUGAAUGACUGAAUGAGUUAAUAAAUGAAACUCACCAGCUCUUCUUUUACAUGUUUAAAAAACAUUUUUCUACCAUGUAGACAAAUGCUCUAAGGUGGGCAGGAAGUCACAGAAACGUUCACUUGUUGAUUUUAAUCCUAAAUUAUGAGACUGGUACUGUACAGAUGCAGCUACAAAGACAUACUGCUCAUUAGAAAUUAAUAUGGCUGAUGAAAUUCUCCUCAAUUAUUAAUAUUGAUGUUGUCUUAGUCAUCUAGUGCUGCUGUAACAGAAAUACCACAAGUGGAUGGUUUUAACAAACAAAUUUAUUCUCUCACAGUCUAGGAGGCUAGAAGUCGGAAUUCAGGGCGCCAGCUCCAGGGAAGGGCUUUCUCUCUCUCUCUCAGCCCUGGGGGGAGGUCCUUGUCAUCAAUCUUCCCCUGGUCUAGGAGCUUCUCAGCACAGGGACCCCGGUCCAAAGGACACUGUCAUCUCCUGGCCCUUGUUUCUUGGUGGUAUGAGGUCUCCUCUCUUCUUCUCAUUUUUCUCUUCUAUAUCUCAAAAGAGAUUGGCUUAAGACCAAACCUAAUCCUACUCCUGCCUCAUUAACAUCAUAGAAGUCGGGUUUACAACAAACAGGAAAACCACAUCAGAGGACAAAACAGUGGACAAUCACACAGUACCGGGAAUCACGGCCCAGCCAGGUUGACAGAUACUCUGAGGGGGUACAAUUCCAUCCAUAACAGAUAUCUUUCUCCUUCUGAACGGUAUGUUUUGUGGACUAUCUGUUAGUUGAUGGUCCAGAUGUGUAGGCUGAGGCUGCCUAUUGUAUUGUUGUUGUGAUUUGUUUUGAUGUAUAAAAACAUUUACCUUAUGUUUCUGAUCAGAUAUUACAAAAAACUCUCCCCAGCCUACUGUUUUCUUCAAAACACAAACCAACAAAAACCUGCCAUGCCUGACUGCCAUUGUUCAGUUCAUUUGGCAACAGUGACUUUAACAGUAUUUGUGGCAUUGUCUGUCAUCAUCAGAAAUCUUGAUUUUCCCCAGAGUAAAGUCAUAGCGUAUUCAUUGUUUGCUCUUUCAGUGUGUGAUGCCCGGAUGUCCCAAGGAGAGUUUCUGGGUGAAUUUACCUGUCGGUUCACGGGAUUUGUCAUAGCAGCCAGAGGCCCGAGGUUUUAUUGAACACUGACUAACCGAGGCAUGCCUAAACAGAACGCAAGAAACUCAGUUGCCAGAGUUUAAGUUUGACCAAAGUUUAGCCUUAAAAACCUAACCGCUCCUAAAUUAAAACUUCCCUGUAACCUUAUUAUCUACCGGUGGUGUCAUGGAUUGAAUCGUGUCACCAAAAAAAGUGUGUAAAUUUGGCUAGGCUAUGAUUCCCAGUAUUGUGUGCUUGUCCACCAUUUUGUCAUCUGAUGUGAUUUUCCUAUGUGUUAUAAAUCCUACCUCUAUGAUGUUAAUGAGGUGGGAUUAGUGGAAGUUAUGUUAUUGAGGGAGGAUUCAAUCUACAAGAUUAGGUUGUGUCUUAAAUCAAUCUCUUUUGAGACAUAAAAGAGAGAAGGGAGCAGAGAGACAUGGGGACUUCAUACCAUCAAGAAACAAGAGCCAGGAGAAUAGCACAUCCUCUGAACCCAUGGCCUCUGAGCUGAGAAGCUCCUCAACUGGAGAAGAUUGAUGACAAGGACAUUCCCCCAGAGCUGACAGAGAAAGCCUUCCCCUGGAUUCAAACUUCUAGCCUCCUAGACUGUGAGAGAAUAAAUUUCUCUUUGUUAAAGACAUACACUUAUGGCAUUUCUGUUACAGCAGCACUAGAUGACUAAGACAGGUGGGAUAAGUAGGGUUCCUUUGUGAUCCAAAGCACCUCAUUAACCUACAGUCUCAUUUAUAGUGUAGUCCUGAAGCAAAAAUUCUGAAAGUGGGAAUAUUCUUCCUGAGCCUCUAUCGUUCACCUUGUUCUCAUUCUUGUUUCCACCCAUCCUCGUUGUCCACUCCAAAUGAUGAAAAAUAUCAAGAACAUAAGGCUACCAAAGAAACUGCGGAGGGCAGAAACACAAUAUAAAGAGUUUAAUAAUUAUGUUCCCCAGAGCUAUACGAUGUUGUUAAGACAAUUUAUGUGCCUUACUUUCCAUGACUUGAUUACAAGUGCUUUCUGCCUGAAGCUGGAGGUAUUACUAGCCAAACUUCUCUUUCCCAUAUGAACAGUGUUGUUGUUGUUGUUGUUGUUGUUGUUGUUGGGUGCCAUUGCAUCAGUUCCGACUCAGAGAGCCUAUGUGCAACAGGGGGAAACGCAGGCCAAUCCUGUGCCAUGCUCACGAUCCUUACUGUUUAAGUCUAUUGUUGCAGCCACUGUGUCAAUCCAUCUAGCUGAAGGUCUUCCUCUUUUUCACUGACGCUCUACUUUGCCAAGCAUGAUGUCUUUCUCCAGGGACUGGUCCCUCCUGAUAAUAUGUCCAAAGUACAUACAAUAAAUGGACAAUAAACACAGGUAUAUUGAAUCCGUGAGGGAGGAGGAUGUAAGGGAAGGUUGUAGAGGGACAGAAUACCUGGGUUCUCAUUCUAGCUCCUCCACCUGUUACCAGCCCGUAACUCGGGGAGUGAGCCAUUUAUUAUCACUGAUUCCGUUUUAUCAUGUGUAAAUGUCUAUGAUCCUUUCUGCCUUGCCUCCCUAACAGAACUAUUGUUAGUAAUGAAUGACUUCAUGUCAAAGCACUUUGAGAACCCUAAUGUGCUAUAUGGAUAACAAGUAUUAUUACUGCUUUAAUUUAGGUCCUGAUAGUAUAUAAAUAAGAAAUAUUACAAAAAAUAAGUACCCCAAGACUAGCAAGCAAUAGUUCAAAGUUCUUGAGGGUGUAAUCAUAAAACUGAGACACAAUAAUGAUGCUUCUAAAGUUGGCCAAAUUUAUACAAAUACAAAAAUUCAAUGGUGAAACAAUUCUCUUGGAUGAGAAACCUUUGCUAUUAGGAUCAUUUAGUAAUGAGUCAGUGGAAUUAGGCAGUAAGAGACUUGGCACGUGGAUUUAGUGGGACCACUGGGUUUCUGCUAGGGACCUUGUGAUGGUUAAUUUCAUGUGUCAGCUAGGGUAUGACUCACAGUGGCUUAGCCAAACACUAGACUAGUUGCUGUUCCAUAAUAUGAAGUAGUGUAAUGUAACCACUUUCCAUUGUAUAAUUUAAUGUAAUCAAUCAAUCAGUUGGGAGGAGGAGUUCCUUAGGAUGUGGUCUGCCUCCAGGCUAUAAAUGGGUAUUUUGACAGAACUCACUCUCUGUCUCUCUCCACGUUGCAUUCUUCCCAUCUCCUGAUAUAGGGAUCUUGACAUGAAAACCUGCAGAAGUCUGCAGUCUGCUGCCUGACCUGUGGAUUCUGCCUUUGAAGGCCAAAUUUUAUUUCUAGUCCUUAGACUCAUUAGCAGUAUAACCACAGAGCCACACUGAGCUUAUUUCCAAAAUAAAUAAGUUAGAUUAUUAUCAUUAGGUGUUGUCAAGUUGGUUCUGACUCACAGUGAUCCUGUGUACAACAGAAUGAAACACGGCCCAGUCCUGCACCAUCCUCACAACCACUGUUAUGCUUGAGCCCAUUGUUGCAGCCACUGUGUCAACCCACCUCAUUGAGGGUCUUCCUCUUUUUUGCUGAUCCUCUACUUUACCAAGCAUGAUGUUCUGCUUCAGUGACUGGUCCCUCCUGAUAACAUGCCCAAAGUACCUGAGAUGAAGUCUUGCCAUCCUUGCUUCCAAGGAGCAUUCUGGCUGUACUUCUUCUAAGUUCGAUUGGUUUGUUCUUCUGACAGUCCAUAGUAUAGACAGGCUGGAUAGAUUAGACAGACAGAUAAAUAAAAGCUGACUAUCCUUCUUUCUCCUAGACUAUGAACUCUGUGAGAGUAGUGAAGACGAUAACAUAUCAUUUCACAUUUCUAACCCAGUUAUGUAGCUUACCAUAGGCACAGAGUGGACAUCCAAUAAGUGUUCAUUAAAUGAAUAAAUAUGAUCCCAGGGGACCUCUCCACGUACAAUUUAACACUUGUUUGCUCCUCUGAGCUCUUGCAUGGAGCAAACUUGCCGGCACACUCUCCACCAGGCACUGUUUGUGGUGAACAAUUCAGUGCUGGUGGCUUACCAUGAAUUCCCCACCUUGCUGGGAGUUCUGUGGCC